UUCUGUUGGUUAGAUUGCAUAAUUACCCUUUAUAUAUUUUUAACAAAUUUGGCAGUCAAAACCUUUCUUAAUUUUACACCUCCCUUACACUAUAAAUUCAUUCCAAAUCCUCGAAAAUUUAUGAGAUAAAAACCACUCUCUUCCAUCUUCACUUAACUCUCCACUGCCUGUCCAAGUCUCCAUUUCAGAAGUGUUCUUUU
rnacentral:lncRNA from 1 species